rnacentral:rRNA from 1 species
UACGUAGGGUGCGAGCGUUAAUCGGAAUUACUGGGCGUAAAGCGUGCGCAGGCGGUUUUGUAAGCCAGAUGUGAAAGCCCCGGGCUCAACCUGGGAAUGGCAUUUGGGACUGCAAGGCUUGAGUGCGGCAGAGGAGACUGGAAUUCCUGGUGUAGCAGUGAAAUGCGUAGAUAUCAGGAGGAAUACCGAUGGCGAAGGCAGGUCUCUGGGCUGACACUGACGCUCAUGCACGAAAGCGUGGGAGCAACAGG